UUUUCCGACAGCUCCCUCAAACUAAAUGACUGAUAUAUAGGAGAUGUCAACUAUAGGAUCCAAGUAGGGUGGACAAAAUAGAGGAAUAAUUUGAGUUAGAUCUCUGUGAUAUAAACUACCACUUAAGCUUAAACAAAGAUUUUACGAUGUAGCCAUAAACUACAAAUUACAAUGUUGUGUGGGACUGAAUAUUGAGUUGUAAAGAGCCAAAAAGAAAGAUGUCUCGGUGUCAUAGUGAUAAGAAUGUUACAACGAUAAGUGGUUUACACAAGAUAAGAUAGGAACAAAAAUACAUUUCUUGGAAGAUAGCACGUGUGGAGAAGAAUUAAAAGCACUGGCUGACUAAAUGGAGUAUAGUCCAACAUAAGGGCAAGUUAAGAAAAAUUAUAGGCCAAACUAACGAGAGAUUUAGAGAUAAACAAACCUAUCUUAACACUUGAUCCAUGACAGAAAUUUAUCUAGGUCUUCCCCAGCUAGUGGAAGCCUGUUUUGCUGUUAUUUCUGUUGUGUAAAAUUGUUUUACACUUAACUGUUAUUAUUUGAGAUUAAUUAUUAUGCAUUCUUUAAGAUUGAUGUUUGUCUUACUGUUAUGAUAAGUAUUUAUCAGAGAAGCACUGAAUGAUUGAAAAAAUCGGCAAUCAUUUCUUAACACUAACAAGUGGGUUGAGGAGGUACGUGCAGAACGAGGCAGUGAUGUUAUUAUCGUUUUGGUUGGAAACAAAACUGAUCUUGUUGAAAAAAGGCAAGUCUCUAUAGAGGAAGGAGAUGCCAAGUCGCGUGAGAGCGGGAUCAUGUUUAUAGAAACUAGUGCAAAAGCAGGAUUUAAUAUCAAGCCUUUAUUUCGCAAGAUUGCUUCAGCCUUGCCCGGGAUGGAAUCUCUUUCAACAAAGCAAGAUGACAUGGUUGAUGUAAAUUUAAAAUCUACCGCGUAUUCAUCCAGGACAGAGCAGCAAGGUGGAGGUUGUUCGUGCUAAACAGUGCUAUUCACAACAAGUCACGAGUCUGUUCACUUGACACAAUUAUUGGCUUGGCAACCAAAAUGGAAAUAUGCACCUAGGCCAAACCCAAACGUGCUUGUGUACCAAUGCUCUUCAGUUUAGUUUGGUAGGGCUUAGAUCUUAGCAAUAAUGUUUUUGAUGUAAGAUAAAAUGAAAAAAUGAAUUUGAUUAUUAGUUAUUUUAUUUUCUAA